rnacentral:rRNA from 1 species
GACGAACGCUGUCGGCGUUCUUAACACAUGCAAGUCGAACGGAAAUUCCCUUCUUGCAUGGUUCUCGAGUGGCGAACGGGUGAGUAACACGUGUUUGAUCUGCCCCUUACUUUGUGAUAAGCCUUUGAAACUGGGUCUAAUACUGGAUAGCACCAUUCUGUAGUUGGUGUGGUGGAAAGAUUAGUUUCGGUAAGGGAUAAGCUCGCGUCCUAUCAGCUUUUUGGUGGGGUAAUGGCCUACCAAGGCGUCGACGGGUAGCCGGCCUGAGAGGGUGGCCGGCCACAUUGAGACUGGGAGACGGCCCAGACGCCUACGGGAGGCAGCAGUGGGGAAUAGUGAACAAUGGGAGCAAGCCUGAUGCAGCGACGCAGCGUGGGGGAUGACGGCCUUCGGGUUGUAAACGCCUUUCAGCCAUGACGAAGCGCGUGUGGUGACGGUAGUGGUAGAAGAAGAACAGGCUAACUAAGAG